CAGUAGCCGCGGUAAUACGUAGGUGGCACGCGUUGUCCGGAAUUAUUGGGCGUAAAGGGCUCGCAGGCGGUUUCUUAAGUCUGAUGUGAAAGCCCCCGGCUCAACCGGGGAGGGUCAUUGGAAACUGGGAAACUUGAGUGCAGAAGAGGAGAGUGGAAUUCCACGUGUAGCGGUGAAAUGCGUAGAGAUGUGGAGGAACACCAGUGGCGAAGGCGACUCUCUGGUCUGUAACUGACGCUGAGGAGCGAAAGCGUGGGGAGCGAACAGGAUUAGAUACCCCUGUAGUCCCUGUCUCUUAUAC
rnacentral:rRNA from 1 species